GAGUUUGAUUCUGGCUCAGGAUGAACGCACAAGUCGUGCCUAACACAUGCAAAUCGAAUGAAAACAAUUUAAUUAAAUUGUUUUCAUGGUGAACGGGUGAGUAACACAUAAGAAUCAGCUUUUAGAUAAGGCAUAAAAGAGUAAUAUCUUGGUAAUUCCUUAUAUGCGCAGCAGUGCUUAAAAAGGGGACUCCCGUCUAAAAACGAGCUUAUGCCUGAUUAGCUAGUUGGCGAGUUAAAAACUCACCAAGGCGAAGAUCAGUAGCUGGCCUGAGAGGGCGGCCAGCCACAUUGGGACUGAGACACGGCCCAAACUCCUACGGGAGGCAGCAGUGGGGAAUCUUCUGCAAUGGGCGCAAGCCUGACAGAGCGGCGUCAUGUGAAGGAAGAAGGCCUGAAAUAGGUUGUAAACUUCUUUUACUGAGUAAUGAAUACUGACAACGCAGUAAAAAAGUAUCGGCUAACUCCGUGCCAGCAGCCGCGGUAAUACGGGGGAUGCAAGCGUUAUCCGGAAUCACUGGGCGUAAAGCGUCUGUAGGUGGUUUAGUGUGUUCUUAGUUAAAUUAUGAAGCCUAACUUCAUGAAAAGUAAGAAAACUAUUAGACUUGAGUACGAUAGGGGUAAGAGGAAUUCUUCGAGAAGUAGUGAAAUGCGAAGAUACGAAGGAGAAGAUCAUAAGCGAAGGCUUCUUACUGGGUCGUAACUGACACUGAGAGACGAAAGCUAGGGGAGCGAAUGGGAUUAGAUACCCCAGUAGUCCUAGCUGUAAACGAUGGAUAUUCGGUGCCGGAUUUUAUUAGAACAUUUCGGUACCCUAGCUAACGCGUUAAAUAUCCCGCCUGAGGAGUACGCUCGCAAGGGUGAAACUCAAAGGAAUUGACGGGGGCUCGCACAAGCGGUGGAGCAUGUGGUUUAAUUCGAUGCAAAGCGAAGAACCUUACCAGGGCUUGACAGUAUGUAUAAAAGUCUUAA
rnacentral:rRNA from 1 species